GACGAACGCUGGCGGCGUGCUUAACACAUGCAAGUCGAACGGAAAGGCCCUGCUUUUGUGGGGUGCUCGAGUGGCGAACGGGUGAGUAACACGUGAGUAACCUGCCCUUGACUUUGGGAUAACUCCAGGAAACUGGGGCUAAUAUCGGAUAGGAGCUCCUGCUGCACGGUGGGGGUUGGAAAGUUUCGGCGUUUGGGGAUGGACUCGCGGCUUAUCAGCCUGUUGGUAGGGUAGUGGCUUACCAAGGCUUUGACGGGUAGCCGGCCUGAGAGGGUGACCGGCCACAUUGGGACACGGGAAGGACCCGGAGGGCUACGAGAGGCAGGGGUGGGAGACAUUCCGCGAUGGGCGGAGGCCGGGUGGAGCGACGCCGGGUGGGGAAUGUCGGCUUUCGGGUUGGAAACAGCUUUCGCGUGUGACGGAGCGUGAGUGACGGAAAUGGGUAAAGAAGCACCGGUAACCUACGU
rnacentral:rRNA from 1 species